UUUGGAUAAGCGUGUUAUACUUAUGUACAUAGUUUAAAGGAUUUUGUUUUAUGUUUCACAGAAAUAUCUGGCAUCGUCAUAUUUAGAUUAUUAAAAAAUUCGGCAAUAAUUGCCAGGAGGUUUCAGACAUGGAACAAGGAACAGUAAAGUGGUUUAACGCAGACAAGGGAUUCGGUUUCCUUUCACGUGAGUCAGGUGACGAUGUAUUCGUUCACUUCUCAGCUAUCCAAGGUGACGGCUUCAAGUCAUUGGAAGAAGGACAAGCUGUAUCAUUUGAAGUUCAACAAGGUGACCGUGGCUUGCAAGCUGCUAACGUUACUAAGUUGUAAUAACGGCUUAAAGGCAACCUGGUAAUCAUCAGGUUGCCUUUU
rnacentral:sRNA from 1 species